CGAGCUUGGACACUACUGAUAGGGCUUGCGACCCUGACUCCUCCUGACUUAGUAAAGCAGCAUUUUCUUGUCACUCAGGGGCCUAACACAGUCUAACACUCCUUGACAGUGUAUUGCUACCCCCAAGCAGUGCUCUGUGUACUUUGUCUAAAGUCGCUCAUUUCAUCCUUAUGACUACUC